CAGAGGGUGCAAGCGUUAAUCGGAAUUACUGGGCGUAAAGCGCGCGUAGGUGGUUUGUUAAGUUGGAUGUGAAAUCCCCGGGCUCAACCUGGGAACUGCAUUCAAAACUGACUGACUAGAGUAUGGUAGAGGGUGGUGGAAUUUCCUGUGUAGCGGUGAAAUGCGUAGAUAUAGGAAGGAACACCAGUGGCGAAGGCGACCACCUGGACUAAUACUGACACUGAGGUGCGAAAGCGUGGGGAGCAAACAGGA
rnacentral:rRNA from 1 species